AGAAAAAGGACAUUCCAUUCAAAGUGCAAGCGAUGCACUGUUUCUUUCUUUCUUUCUGUCUUUCUUUCUUUCGUUCGUGAAUUCAGUACAGACAGACAGAUCAUUGUUGGUGGUCUUGCGAAAAAUCAUGAAGUGCAAUGCAAUUCAGGCAUUCAUUCAAAUUUUGGAUGGUGCUUUCUUUCAUUCAUUGUGUUAGACAAAGAAGGAAAAACAAAG
rnacentral:ribozyme from 11 species